GCGCUUGCAACCAGACUUGCGCGCGGCGGUUCCCCCUUCCUUUUGGUUGGGCUACUCCGCCGUGUCCAGGCCAACAUCGGUUCUGGGGGUCGGUUAAAGGCUUGGGGAAUGUAUCUACCUUCGGGUCGACUUAUAGCCCCAAGUGUCAUGCGACCUCCCGGGACCGAGGAACGCGCUUCGGCUCGGAUGUUGGCGUAAUGGUUGUCAGCGACCCGUCUUGAAACACGGACCAAGGAGUC
rnacentral:rRNA from 1 species